GAUGAACACUGGCGGCGUGCCUAAUACAUGCAAGUCGAGCGAACGGACGAGAAGCUUGCUUCUCUGAUGUUAGCGGCGGACGGGUGAGUAACACGUGGAUAACCUACCUAUAAGACUGGGAUAACUUCGGGAAACCGUAGCUAAUACCGGAUAAUAUUUUGAACCGCAUGGUUCAAAAGUGAAAGACGGUCUUGCUGUCACUUAUAGAUGGAUCCGCGCUGCAUUAGCUAGUUGGUAAGGUAACGGCUUACCAAGGCAACGAUGCAUAGCCGACCUGAGAGGGUGAUCGGCCACACUGGAACUGAGACACGGUCCAGACUCCUACGGGAGGCAGCAGUAGGGAAUCUUCCGCAAUGGGCGAAAGCCUGACGGAGCAACGCCGCGCGAGUGAUGAAGGUCUUCGGAUCGUAAAACUCUGUUAUUAGGGAAGAACAUAUGUGUAAGUAACUGUGCACAUCUUGACGGUACCUAAUCAGAAAGCCACGGCUAACUACGUG
rnacentral:rRNA from 1 species